rnacentral:rRNA from 1 species
AACGAACGCUGGCGGCAUGCCUAACACAUGCAAGUCGAACGAGACCUUCGGGUCUAGUGGCGCACGGGUGCGUAACGCGUGGGAACCUGCCCUUAGGUUCGGAAUAACUCCCCGAAAGGGGUGCUAAUACCGGAUAACGUCUUCGGACCAAAGAUUUAUCGCCUUUGGAUGGGCCCGCGUUGGAUUAGCUAGUUGGUAGGGUAAAAGCCUACCAAGUCGACGAUCGAUAGCUGGUCUGAGAGGAUGAUCAGCCACACUGGGACUGAGACACGGCCCAGACUCCUACGGGAGGCAGCAGGGGGGAAUAUUGGACGAUGGGCGAAAGCCUGCUCCAGCAAUGCCGCGUGAGUGAUGAAGGCCUUAGGGUUGUAAAGCUCUUUUACCCGGGAUGAUAAUGACAGUACCGGGAGAAUAAGCUCCGGCUAACUCCGUG